GGCCUGGUGGCGGAGUGGUUACGCAGCGGACUGCAAAUCCGUGUACCCCGGUUCGAGUCCGGGCCAGGCCUCCA
rnacentral:tRNA from 1 species